CCAAUAGCGUAUAUUAAAGUUGUUGCAGUUAAAAAGCUCGUAGUUGAAUUUCGGGAUCAAGGAAUCGGUCAUGCCUCGGUAUGUACUGGUUUUAUUGGUUCUCACCUUCUAAAGAACCAUGAUGUCAUUCAUUUGAUGUUAUGGGGAAUUAGGACUGUUACCUUGAAAAAAUUAGAGUGUUUAAAGCAGGCUUACGCUUGAAUACAUUAGCAUGGAAUAAUGAAAUAGGACAUCAGAUUCUAUUUUGUUGGUUUCUAGGAUCGAUGUAAUGAUUAAUAGGGAUAGUUGGGGGCAUUAGUAUUCAAUUGUCAGAGGUGAAAUUCUUGGAUUUAUUGAAGACUAACUACUGCGAAAGCAUUUGCCAAGGAUGUUUUCAUUAAUCAAGAACGAAAGUUAGGGGAUCGAAGACGAUCAGAUACCGUCGUAGUCUUAACCAUAAACUAUGCCGACUAGGGAUCGGAUGAUGUUUAUUUUUUAGUGACUCAUUCGGCACCUUACG
rnacentral:rRNA from 1 species